ensembl:lncRNA
AUGGUAUCACCAAUCUGCACUGCUUGUUCCUUGAAGAUGUUUUUCUUCCCAGUCAAUGUCACACCCUUGGGAGGAGAACUGAAAGUAGCUGAAGAAAACAGCUUACAUUUAAAUGAGAAAAAAAGACGGUUAUUUUUGGCAUCAGUGUGUUUUACUAAUGUCCCCUUUGCUUUGCGGGUGCAAACUCUCCCUCGGAGAGCAAUGCACUUUCUGCCAAUCGUUUUGAGAAGUAAAAGGAGAGGUUGUAAAAGACAACUGCCAUUCAUUCCUCUCUUGGAAAUGUCAGGUUUCAGGAUGAUCCUCCAAGGAUGGACAUCUUUGAGGCCAUGCCUUAUCUGGUAUCCAGCCGGAGGGAAAGCGCAGGCUCAGGAUUUCUCUCUGACAGAUCAGAGCUGGUGGCCUGAUUUGCAUAACUGAUGUAAAUAAUCUGUGAUUCUGCAGCUGCCAGAAAAGAGUUGUGCAACCAUCAACAAAAUCCAAUUUUAAAACAUUUCCAUCAUCCUAAGAAGAAACUUCACACCAUCACUCUCCAUUCCAUCACCAGCCAUAGACAGUGAGUAAUGCAGUUUCUGCCUCUUAUUAUCUGCCUUUUUCUUUUGGACAUUUCAUAUAAAUGAGCUCAUACCACAUGUAAGCUUGGCUUGUUUCACUGAACACAAUAUUUUUGAAUUAUGUCCACAUUGUAGCAUUUAUCAGUAUUUCCUGCCUUUUUUCUUGCCAACUAGCAUUCCUUAAAUUAAGUUUCACCUGGCGUGUAUUUACUCAUUUUUACAUUUUUGCACUUAAUACAUCAUGAUGUUUUAGGUGCCUUAUAAAUAGCAAAAGAUUAAAAUUUGUAUUUAACCACUUAACCACUGAAAGUGUGAAUAAAAUUUCCCAGGAAUUCAGAGGAGAAUGGGAUCAGGCAAUGCUUCAACCAAGGGGCAUCAUCUGAUCGUCAAGGAAAGGCAGAGUUUGAAUGAGAAAAGACUCCGCUGAGGGGUGGAAGGAGAUGGAGGCUAUUUCAUUUAUUUAUUUUUUUAUUUAUUUUAUUUUUUUUGGCAGGGUGGGGGAUGAAGUUUUGCUCUUGUUGCCCAGGCUGGAGUGCAAUGAUGCCAUCUCAGUUCAUAGUAACCUCCGCCUCUUGGGUUCAAGCGAUUCUCCUGCCUCAGCCUCCCAAGUAGCUGGGAUUACAGGUGUGCGCCACCAUGCCUGGCUAAUUUUUGUAUUUUUAGUAGAGACAGGGUUUCACCACAUUGUUCAGGCUGGUCUUGAACUCCUGACCUCAGGUGAUCUGCCCGCCUUGGCCUCCCAAAGUGCUGGGAUUACAGGCGUAAGCGACCACGCCCGACCGAAGAUGGAGGCUAUUUCAACAUGAAACACUGGGCCAAACAUUGAGUCUGAGCCAGCAGAUCUUUUAUUUAGGAGGCAAAUGAAAAUUGAAAGAAGACCAAGCUGAAAGUGGAUAACUAGUUGUGUGACCCGAGAAAGUUCCCCAGUCAAGGUCUCCAUUUCUCACCUGUGAAAUCCAGGUGUUAAGUUCUCAUCAUCUCUAAGGUUCCUUCUGGUUCUAAAAUUCUGUAGAGGUUGGAACAAAAUAUGAUAGUAUUUUGAGUCAUUAAAGAAAGCUGUAAGCAUAGUUUCAUUUUCACAGCAUAUUGUUGGUCAUAGCGCUUGCUUUAUUAAACAUCAAGUCUUUGGGAAUGCAAUAGCUAACCGUAACACUAAAACUAUAAAAAACAGGAUUUAUUUACAGCAGUAUUUUUGACAGGAGCUCUUAGAAGGCCUUGUAUAAUAAAACAGAAAUUUUAUACAUUAGUAAUUUGUACAGUAGAAAUUUGAAAGAUAUCCUAGGAGGAACCAAAUUGUUAGAUAUAUCUAUAAAACAAGAAUUAAAGGCUCUAGGAAGCUGUACUUAUAAAUAGCAGAAAAAAAUAAGAAUUUAAAAAAAUGAUUCACUAAAUGUAAAAAUGAGAGAUAUUACAGAAAGAAGAAUGAAGGAAAGAAAUGAAACUUCCAUCAAAAUUUAUCUAAUAGUUUGGUUAUACUGAAAAUAAGGAAGUUUUAAAGUGUGGUAAUCAUCUAUAGUUUUGUCUGAAUAAGAAUAAAAUUAGAAAGAUGUGAAACUUUGAACUUGCACUAAAGAACAACAGGUCUUCUUGCAUGCAUAAUGAUUGGUCUGCCCUAACUGCAGUAGUCUACAAAACCAUAAAUCAUUAUUAUUUAGUACAAAUAAUUUUAAAUCUUUAAAAGUAUUUUAUUGUCUGAUAUUUCUAAGAGUGCAAUUUAAAUCUACAUUUAUCUCUUUUUUUUUUCAUUUUUAAUAUGAGACAGUGGUCUCACUGGGUUGCCCAGGCUUAUCUCGAACUCCUAAACCCAAGGGAUCCUCCCACCUUAGUCUCCCAAGUAGCUGAGAUUACAGACAUGCAUCACCAUGCUUGGCCCUAAUUCUACAUUUAAAUUUAAAUGCAGAGCAUUCAUGGCUUAGCUAAAGUAGCAGUCAUCCCCAAGAUUUUCUCCAGAGAUUAUAUCUAGGUGUAUAAAAUAUUGGCCAGGUGCAGUGGCUCACUCCUAUAAUCCCGACACUUUGGGACGCCUAUGCAGGAGGAUCACUUGAGACCAGGAUUUGAAACCAGCCUGGGCCACAUAGCCAGGUCCUGUCACUACAAAAAAAUUAAAAUAAAAAUUAGCCAGAUAUAAUGGCACGUGCUUGUAGUCCUGCUACUCAGGAGGCUGAAGCAGGAGGAUCGCUUAAGCCCGAGAACUCAAGGCUGCAGUGAGCUAUGAUCACACCACUACACUCCAGCCUGGGUGACAGAUCUAGACUCCAUUUUUAAAAAAGAAACUAAUAGAUAAAUAAAUUUGUUAAUUAAAUCAAUCUAAAUUAAAUUAAAAUAUUACUAAGUCCAUGUGUACAUUAAUGGAAAAAAACACAAUUACUUAUGCAUCAACAUAAUAAAAAGAAUGAUGUAUUUUACAUGUUCUCGCAUUCUCUCCUGAACCAUGCCUGGGAAGUCUGUAGUCAAAGUUGAACAUGUCGUCAUUUCACAUUAAAAUGUAGGUUAUUGAUUUUUCUUGUUUCUUCCCACAUUGUCACUGGCCCAUAUCCUGUAAGACAGCAAAAGAGCUUUGACAUCAGAAGGUGGGUAAGGAUAAUAGAAAAUCACUAAUGUUUGGAAAUUCUGUGCUGAAAAAGUGGAUUGACCAACAUGUAAUUGGUUAAUGGAUAAAUUCCAGGACUGGAUAAGCUAGCAUUUUAUUCCGACACAAGUAAAACAUUACACAAAGGAAGUGGAUUCAUUUUUUAAAAAUCAGACAUAGUUUUCCUAUCCUAAAGCAUAUUUGCAUCCGCUAGCAGACAAGUACAGGUAAUUGCCUCCAGGUGUUUGCCUGCAGGAAGUCAUUGAAAUUCAGUGCUAGUAAUGGCAGUUUUCUGCCCAGCAAAAACUAACCUACAGGAACCUCAGAGGCACAGGUAUAUAUUAGAAUAGCAAUGCCAGCCCUCUGAAAGGCCAUAGAUUCAGAAUGACCAGUUUAACAGGAUACAGAUUGAAUAAAACAAGAAUGAAGUUAUGUUUUUUAACAAUAAAAAAAUUUAAGAUUAAGAAAAAUGUUUUUCUUCUGCUUUUAAAAAAAUUUAAACAUUACUUGUUUUUCUUACCUUUUUACUCAUUGAUGGUAACCGUCUAGCAAUCAUUUUUCUCCCAGACAAAAUAGAAAUUACAAGAACAAUUACAUUUUUCUUAAAGUUCUGUUUUUAUGAAAGCUCCUGUUCAAAAAUAACUAAUUAUUAUACAAUAACCCAGGUAUUUUUUCCACCGUAAAUAGAUACUCUAGGAUAUUUAAAGAUGGCAGAUUAACCAUUAGCAUUUAGCUCAAUGCUACUGCUCAAAUGACAAUAAUUUUUUUUUUUGAAAGACACAGCAUACAAAGACAAAAUAAACAAGAAUGGAGACAACAGCAACAGAAACUUGGAAGCUGGGAGGAGAUCUGAGAAAGCUGGAUUCUCAGCCAACUCCAGAGAGAGCUGAGAAGCAGACUGAUUUUUUGUUUUGUUUUGUUUUUAAUUUCAAGUACAAAUCCAAGAAUGAGCAUCAUCAGAUAUCUCUGGAAGUUCUGUUGCAAGUAGGGUUGCUGAAGAAGCAGCUGGCCCUUCUCAUCUCCUCCCCACUUCAUGAAACAG